GACGAACGCUGGCGGCGCGCCUAACACAUGCAAGUCGAACGAGCGAGAGAGAGCUUGCUUUCUCGAGCGAGUGGCGAACGGGUGAGUAACGCGUGAGGAACCUGCCUCAAAGAGGGGGACAACAGUUGGAAACGACUGCUAAUACCGCAUAAGCCCACGACCCGGCAUCGGGUAGAGGGAAAAGGAGCAAUCCGCUUUGAGAUGGCCUCGCGUCCGAUUAGCUAGUUGGUGAGGUAACGGCCCACCAAGGCGACGAUCGGUAGCCGGACUGAGAGGUUGAACGGCCACAUUGGGACUGAGACACGGCCCAGACUCCUACGGGAGGCAGCAGUGGGGAAUAUUGCACAAUGGGGGAAACCCUGAUGCAGCGACGCCGCGUGAAGGAUGAAGGUCUUCGGAUUGUAAACUCCUGUUGUUGAGGAAGAUAAUGACGGUACUCAAAAAGGAAGUGACGGCUAACUACGUG
rnacentral:rRNA from 1 species